UUUUCAUUUGCUUCCGGUAGUCCUCCAUUUGCUACGAACUCCAGUUCUCUCUCUCAAUUUUGCACGAACCAGAACAUAGGUUGUUUAUCCCUUUCUGAUUCCAAAAAACCCUAAUCCCUUUUUCUGUAAAUUGAAUUAGUACUAGCUGAACAGAGUUUCUCUCUGCAACUCCUCUCCCACGAGCUUGAACCUCAACUAUGGAGGGAAGCUCGCUUCUCUUCUUCUCCCCAUUUAAAUCCCCCCCUCUUUCUCCUCUUCUUCUUCUUCUUCCUUGCUCUUCGGAAAAUCCCGCCUUCUGGGUUUAAUCCCCAUUUCUCUCAUCCCAAAUGUGUGCAUGUCGGAUCUCCGUCCUAAAUCCUGACGCAAUAACACUUCAAAGUGGUGAUCGGCCUGCUUGGGUUAGGAAAGACCACUUAUUGCAAUGGCAUGUCUGAGUUCCUCCAGCUCAUCGAAUGAAGGUCGCUGCGGUAAAUUUGGAUCAUUCCACUGAUGCAUUGCCGUAUCCAAUGUCGUAUGUUGAGGUUCAAAGCCGAUUUGGGGAUUUUGAAAUGGUGGACACCGGGCCCAGUUACACCACUUCAGGAUGAUAUCAUAGUGGAUCCAAUGGAGUCUCCAGAGAUUGUUGAUGAUCCAUUCCAAACUAUGUGAGUUUUCAAGUUGAAAAGUGGGAGUAUAGCUCAGAGAAAAACCCUUGAUUGAAUAAAUUACUGAAGAGCCAAUUUAACAUCAGCAGAUAUGAGGGAAUCUGAUUUCAGUGGUUCAACUUUCAAUGGUGCAUACAUGGAGAAAGUUGUCACAUAUAAGGCAAACUUUGAGGGAAGAGCAUGGUGGCAUGUGCUUUGGGUGGGAGUUUGUACUACAGGGGAAGCUGUCGUACAUUCUUGAAGUAGAACAUUGUGCAGAGAACGUUCGGAGGAUUGGAACCAUGGGUUAAGAAAAUGGGUCCAAAUUCAGAGCUGCGUUCUUCUUCCCUCAAAAUAAGAAGAAAACACUUCCUCAGCACCAGAUUUUGGCACCUCAGCGGAGCCACCGCGACCACUAGGGGCCACUGCUGCGUUAAAUUAUGGGCUUCAAUCGUUUUCUAAAACCUUCUGUAUUCAUGGUAAGUUAUUCUAGGUUUUAUUCCAUAUUCAGAUCAUCCCCAAUUUCGAAAGUUUAGGGAAUUGAUUCGUUUCCGUGUUGCAUGUUUAACAUUCUUCUGUGUGAUGCUGAGUUGAGGCUAUACGAACUGGAAUCGUUGAGGGUAGGCUUGAAUUUGGCCAAAUUUGGAACCAGAAAGACCUUGGAAUCACACAGUAAAUCAAUAAUGCAAAUGGACAGAUCCCAUCAGAGCACUCUGUUACCCCUCUGUUACAUGAUUUUGUACAUCCGUUAUAUGCUAUCUCCCGAAUGCUUAUCCGCCUACUGCCUAUUACUAUGGAGCACUGCAGGGCAUGCGGCUUCUGGAACCGGCUUACAAUGUUUGAUUAAUUUCUAUGGGCGAUAUCCUCAUAUAAACAAGUGGAAGGUUUACAGGACAUUAACCAAUCAGUUGAGAUAUUAGUUCGUUUACUUUCUGCUGUCCCUGGUUGGAGUGAGAAAAUGUUUAGGUUCAGCAACAAGUUGCUGAAAUUAUCACUUAUAUAGCCUCCACUGCAAAACAGUAGUACUUUUGGUAUAUGUAAACGGCUCGCAGAUAUCAGAUCCAGACAAAUGUGAUGAAGUGCCUUACGGCUUUUUCCAAAUCCUUAGGUCCACGAUUUGUUUUUGAAAGUGGAAGUUCUGGUGUGAUAUUUUUAAUUCUCAUCAUCUUCAGUGCAAAAGUUUGUGUGCAAGUUUUUUGUUAUAGUUGUAUUUUUCUGUAUGCAUUAUGUUUAUCCUGAGCCAAAGGUUGCUAAUCUUUUAUUGAUGAGUGUGUGCUGCUUGGUCUCCAAUGAUUGUUUAUAUUUACCAAGGGUAUAAUGAGAGGAAAAAUUCAUUCCAAUAACUUGGAAUGAACGUCUACUAAAUUGUAGGGAAUCCAAUUAAGAUGCUUAAGUCUUUGCGUGGAACUC
rnacentral:sRNA from 1 species